AUGAGCUGGCUAGCUAGAAAACUGAUUCGGGCCAAGUACCAAAACUUGUGGCCAAUCAGCAGUAAGGAAGUUGGUUUGCCAACCACUUAUAAAAUUAAAGGAAGAAGAAGAAGAUCAGCUUUAAGGGGCGUGUCUACUCAUGAUGGGGAGGAGAGAGCGCUCAGUGCACAGGACGCACAUUAAAAGAGCCGAGCGACGACAGAAAGAUAGAGAUGGCGGAUAAAAAACAAAAGAGGAAAAUGUCUGUGGAACAAAAGAAGGCUUACAAUAACGCAAGAAGUAGGACCCAUGUAAAUUUCGGCUCAGCUUUCCAGCACUGGAGAGAACUCAAGGAGCGGGAAGGCCUGCGAUUGGAUGUCGAGGGAGCUUUGUUUCUUAUUGACAGGUGAGUAACAUUGGUUUUGAUUUGUUUCACAGAACUAAUAUAUGCUGUUAAAACACAUAUAUGCUUGUUAAAACACACAGUACUACCAAAACACAUUCAGCAUGUAUUACCAUAGUAACACAAAGUGCUUUCAAUUAUUGAUGACAUCAUACUCUCGGCCGGCUGUCACAGCAGAUUCCGCCAUAAUCAUUGCCUGGGUUGCACACGUAUGUGUGCGGCGGAGCUAUCAAAAUAGGGGUGAGACCUUUUUGGGGUGGGGCGUGGUUGCUUUGGUGAUUUGAAAUAUCAACACUGGCUACCAGAAAUCACUUACCCCACCUUUAAACAAUGACCCUUAAUCUCUCUCCAUUUAGGAGAGAAAAUCACUAGAGAAUGUGACCUAGUAUUAGUCUCUGUAGCGGACUGGCAGUUUUAUUAACCUGCCACUUGAGGUCAUUUUUAGAACAUAAACAGGGGCUGAAGGAACACUCUCUGCAUUCAUGACUGGUGCAGAAUGUUCCUGUGUGAGCUGUGGUAGUGGAAUGUGUGCGGAACUGUCCCUGUCAGUGUUUACAGAAUCAGACCCUGUAGACCUCGGAAUGUAACCUGAUGGAGCAGGGGGAGAAAUCGCUUGAGGGCCACACCAGACUGUUCCUGGUCCUGGCAAGCCUCACCAACUACCCAGACAACACGCUCUGUGCAUUCUACUGUCUCCUUCCUCGCCCCUCUGGUUAAAAAAAUAAAUAAAUAAAUAAAAAACUUAUAGAAAACGUU
ensembl:lncRNA